rnacentral:rRNA from 1 species
GAUGAACGCUGGCGGCGUGCCUAAUACAUGCAAGUCGAGCGAACAGACGAGGCUCUUGCUCCUCUCACGUUAGCGGCGGACGUGUGAGUAACACGUGGAUAACCUCCCUAUCAGACUGGGAUCACUUCGGGACACCGGCGCUAAUCCCGGAUAAUAUAUUGCACCGCAUGGUUCAAUAGUGAGAGACGGCUUUGCUGUCUCUUCUCGCUGGAUCCGCGCCGCAUUAGCUAGUUGGUAAGGUAACGGCUUACCAAGGCAACGAUGCGUAGCCGACCUGAGAGGGUGAUAGGCCACACUGGAACGUAGACACGGUCAAGACUCCUACGGGAGGCAGCAGUAGGGAAUCUGACGCAAUGGGCGAAAGCCUGACGGAGCAACGGGGAGUGAGUGAUGAAGGUGUUCGGAUCGUAAAACUCUGUUAUGAGGGAAGAACAAAUGUGUAAGUAACUAUGCACGUCGUGACGGUACCUAAUCAGAAAGCCACGGCUAACUACGUG